rnacentral:tRNA from 1 species
AGCUCAGUUGGUAGAGCAUCGCAUUUGCAUUGCGAGGGUCGCGGGUUCGAAACCUGUCAUUUCC